rnacentral:ribozyme from 1 species
UCAUUGUCCUAAGACUUGGAAGUCUUAGGGAAGUGAGCAAGUGAAACAUGCAGAAGUAGUGUACUACUUCUGUAGCACAUUACCUUGC